rnacentral:lncRNA from 1 species
UGAGCCAAGAUUAUGCCGCUGCGCUCCAGCCUGGUGACAGAGUGAGACUCCGCCUCAAAAAAAAAAAAAGAGGGACUUGCUGGGAGAAACUGGUGCUAUAAGAACAUCAGUCUGGGCUUCAGGACACCCAAAGAAGCCAUUGAGGGAACCUAUAUGGACAAGAAAUGUCCCUUCACUGGUAAUGUCUCCAUCUGAAGGCAGAUCCUGUCUGGUGAGGGGUCCAAGAUGAAGAUGGAGAGGACCACUGUCAUCCACUAGGAUUAUCUCUGCUACAUGUACAAGUACAGUUGCUCCAAGAAGUGCCAUAAGAAUGUGUCCGUGAGCCUGUCCUCCUGCUUCAGGGAAGUCUAGGUUGGCAUAUCAUCGUGGGUGAGUGCUAGUCCCCGAGCAAGACCCUGUACUGCAGUACGCUCAAGUCACCAAGACUGCCAGCACCAAGAAGCAAUUCCAGAAG